GUGGGGAAUAUUGGACAAUGGGGGGAACCCUGAUCCAGCCAUGCCGCGUGUGUGAAGAAGUCCUUUUGGUUGUAAAGCACUUUAAGCGAGGAGGAGGCUACCGAGAUUAAUACUCUUGGAUAGUGGACGUUACUCGCAGAAUAAGCACCGGCUAACUCUGUGCCAGCAGCCGCGGUAAUACAGAGGGUGCAAGCGUUAAUCGGAUUUACUGGGCGUAAAUCGCGAGUAGGUGGCCAAUUCAGUCAAAUGUGAAAUCCCCGAGCUUAACUUGGUAAGUGCAUUGGAGACUGGUUGGCUAGAGUAUGGGAGCGGAUGGGAGAAUUCCAGGUAUAGCGGUGAAAUGCGUAGAGAUCUGGAGGAAUACCGAUGGCGAAGGCAGCCAUCUGGCCUAAUACUGUCACAGAGGUGCGAAAGCAUGGGAAGCAAACAGGAUUAGAUACCCGGGUAGUCC
rnacentral:rRNA from 1 species